UAACGCUUGUCCGGGACAAGUGGAUUUUGUGAAGGGGCAAGUGAAAGAGAAUUGUACUUGCCUGACCAGACAAGUAAGCUGAUGAAAAUGUUAAUAACAAACAAUAACUAGGGCAUCACCGAAACUUUGAAGAGAAUGAUUCUGAUUGUAUUUCUUUCAGUGUAAACGGUGACUAAUAACAGAUAAUGUAUUGACAGUAUCAAGGUCACGUCAACUGAGGCUCGUUCAGUCUGUCAGACUCGCGGAGAAAUGUCCCAGGUGUUUGGUGACUACUACUACUUUUAAAAUGAAACGAUCAUUAUUUUUUUAAGGAAUAAACACACAACAUUUAUUCCAUGUUUUAAUUUCAAUAAUAAAUCUCUUUUGUUUACCCAAAAAUAAAGUAUUGUCAGCUUUAUUGUCAGUAAUUAAAAUAUAAAUGAAAUUAACGUUUUAUGCUAUCAUUAGAUAACCAGAAAUUUUUUAUAAACAUCAUUCAUGUUAAUAAAACAGCAAAAGAGAAAAACUUUCACUGCUCUUGAAUAAAUCACUUAUGCAACUUUAAAAUGAAGACAUUUAAUUUAUACAUAUAGUUAUAGUUUUGUACAUUUACUUUAUACAAUGUAUGCAGCAUUUAUUAUUUGUUCUACUGUUGUUUUUGUCCUAUUCUUUGUAAAUAAUUUAUUUAAUUGCUGUUGUCUUGUCUUCGGUAAGCUUUUUUAUUAUUAUUAUUUAUUUAGGCUAGUAUUAGCUUUUUGUGAUAUUGACAAUGGUGACCAACAAAAGCAUUAAAAUAACGUAUUUUUCGGACUAUAGGUCGCACUGGACUAUUAGUCGCAUUUAUUUCGAACCAAAGACCAAGAGAAAACAUUAACGUCUACAGCCGCGAGAGGGUCCUGACUAUCCUGAGGGUCCUGACUAUCCUGAGGGUCCUGAGUCGCAGGACCAGCCAAACUAUGAAAAAAAGUGUGACUUAUCGUCCGGAAAAUACGGUACCUGUUAUGUUUGGAGCCUUGCUCGCUUUACACUUUAAUGGUAUGCAAGUUCCUCAGUCAAAAUAGCUUCUUUCGUGUUAUAUUGAAGUAAGCAAGCCAUUCAGGUUUGGAACAACAUGACAAAGUAAAUGACAACAGCAUUUAAAUUUUUGGAAAAACGAUUCCUUUGAAAGUAUUUCAAUCUUGCUCAAAACCCAACCAACAUGGAGAUUAUACGCAACAUUAGUCUAAGCCAGUGAUUCUCAACCUUUUCGAUCUCCCAGCACCACACCCAGAACUACAGAUCUAGAAAUCACACUUUUCAAAUAAGGUUUAUUCAGUCUUUUCCAAAGACGGUAGUAUUUGACUUAUUUCAAAUCUUUUAGGUCAUCUUAAGGCCCCCCCAUUAAAGUUUCCUGAGGCCACCUAGUAGGUCCCGGACCCCUGGUUGAGAACCACUGUUCUAAACUAAGCAAAACAACUACUUAUUAGGAAUAAAACAGGCUCUUCUGAAUACAUUCUCAGUGGAUGUUGAACAUUUAUGUUCUGGGGGUUGUUUGUUUUGAGGAGGGUAAUGGAACAAAGCCUACGUACUACACAGUCUAACACUUCUGUGUGGCAACACAUGAUUGCGCAAGACAUACUGGAACAUCUGCCAGUCACAGCCUUGAAGAGUAAUAAGCAAAUCCAUAUCUAAUUUAAACACUAAAGCAAUGCACGCAUGGAAACUCGUGCUUCCAUCCAAGUGUAUAUCCAGUAAGUGGGCUGGGAGAGGGCCUUGCCCCAUUUUCCACCAAUCACAGAGCACCAGCAGAAAUGAGAGGCAUCUGCUGGUCACAUUGUGUUCACACACACACCUCUUCAAUCAGGUCACGAUGCCCAGUUUUCUGGGCACUCACAGCCAAAAUGUGUGCACAUGAAGCCACCUCGCAAACACCUCAAGAAAAAAGAAACAUGUUUCUCCUGCACUAAACCUCUACAGGGAUGCAAGAUGUGUGUGUUCACACUGCAGUCGUUGAUCCCUGACCCAUGUCUGCAGCUCAUCGAGCUCCCUCAGGACUCACAUCUCAAUAUCUCCUCCCUCGCUCAAUGAGAACACCUCAGAACAUGUUUGCUCGCUGUGAAUUCCUCCGCCACUGCAGAGCCGCGGGAGUCAACGACUCGCCUGCCGCAACACUGACAACAACAUCGGUGACUAAUUAAACCCACUCGGCGGGGAGAGACAGAACCGCAGCGCGCCGCUGCCGAGAGACAGAGCUGGAGUGAAUCAUCACACCUGCCGAGACAAAAACUACCGCCGUGUGUCAACAGCAUUUACUUUCCCGAGCCGCGUAAAGCAAUGGUGACAAACAGCGGAUUAAUCGGCUAACAAAGAACAGCAGAGGUCUCUAAUGCCAUUAUUACAGCACGCCACACACAUGCUGAUUAUUGCAACCAAUGCAACAUGAUGCUCAUUAAUAAAAUGUGAUCAUUUCAAAUUAGAUUCUGGCUUUUGAAUAUAGAUGUGUUUGAUUAAACGUGCAGUCGAGAAGGAUCAAAGGUUUGGACUCAGACUUAAUUAAGAUACAAUUAGUAUUAAUUGCACUUGGAUUAAAACCAGGGUGCAUAGUGUUUCGUCAGUGACAUGAUGCUUAACUAUGCAUUUAUUCCGAAUUAUAUUCCAAAUUCAAUUCACACAUACAAGCACUUCAAGCAUACUCUGUUUUAUGAUUAUUUUAAAUAUUUUUUUUUAAGGCAUAGAGACACAAAUGCACAGCUGCUUGAUGAAGAAAAAGCCUCAUUAAUUAAGUCAUGAAUAUUUUAAAGUAUUUUAAAGGAUAUGUAUUAUUUUAAUUAUGUUGAUGUAUUUUAGGCAGCACUUUACAAUAAGGUUCUAUUUGUCAUCAUUAAUUAACAAUCUAACAAAACAAAUAUUUCUAAAGCAUUUAUUAAUC